AGACGUCACUAAUUUUAAGUCAUUUGCUAAACCGACUCCAAAAUUCUAAAUUGGAAGGAACUUUGCGUCGCUUUGAUAACCGAUUUUAAUUUUUAAAAUUAGAUAUUAAUAAGCGCAUAUUUUUUAGCUAGGAUAAAGUUUUGAUCCGACGCCGAUUUCUGACGAUUUCGUUUUCUGAAACUCAAAUUCCCAGAACUCAUACGAGCCUCUCGGAAAUUUGCUUCUCCAUAUCGAUCAUCUCUGUUGAGAUUCAGAUCCAAAAUUUGAAAAUUCCAAAUCGAUUCGAUCCUGAGGUUUGCUUUCUCAGUCUCUGACACUAUCUUCUACAAUCGGUCGAGAUGGUCUAUAAAUGAAGUUCAUGGAUGAUACAGUGACUAGCUAAUGAUCAAAUAGAAGCAGAGGAUGGAAUGACAAAACUAGCAGAGGUUCAAAACGAAGCAGAUGAAAGAAAGAGCACAAAACAAAAAAAGUGGAGGCAAAGUCUAGAAAGGAUUGAGCUACAUUGUCAAUGCUGUAUCGAGGUUUCCUCGAUGGAGCUUGUGUCUUGACAAUGUAUGCGGGAAGUCUGACUAAUACAUCUAUGGAUUAAGCGGUAUAUUUUGGAUUCAUAUCGUUUGCGGUAUGUAUCUACUAUAAUAUUCAUAUUUGGACUAAUAUUGUUACCUCUAUGUUUUAAUCUGUUUUCCAUUGGGGUUGAGAAGUCAUUGACGUGUUUCUAGGGAUCAAGAGUCGAUGUUUAUGUAGACAAAGCUUGUGUUCGUUUUAUUCGCGAAGGUCCCUUGGAAAUUUUUACUUUUUUGUUGUUGUAUUCACCGUCGGAGAUAUUCCAAGC